AUUGAACGCCGGCGGCAUGCCUAAUACAUGCAAGUCGAACGCGAAAGUCCUUCGGGGCGAGUAGAGUGGCGGACGGGUGAGUAAUGCGUGGGAAUCUACCUGGUAGUGGGGGACAACCCGGGGAAACUCGGGCUAAUACCGCAUACGUCCUACGGGAGAAAGGGGGCCUCUGCUUGCAAGCUCUCGCUACCAGAUGAGCCCACGUCCGAUUAGCUAGUUGGUAGGGUAAAGGCCUACCAAGGCGACGAUCGGUAGCUGGUCUGAGAGGAUGACCAGCCACACUGGGACUGAGACACGGCCCAGACUCCUACGGGAGGCAGCAGUGGGGAAUAUUGGACAAUGGGCGAAAGCCUGAUCCAGCAAUGCCGCGUGUGUGAAGAAGGCCUGCGGGUUGUAAAGCACUUUCAGUGGGGAAGAAAAGCCUGGGGCGAAUACCCCUGGGUCUUGACGUUACCUACAGAAGAAGCACCGGCUAACUCCGUGCCAGCCGCCGCCGUAACAC
rnacentral:rRNA from 1 species